UCCGGUUUGUCACCGGCAGUCUCGCAUGAGUCCCCAACUAAAUGCUGGCAACAUGCGACGGGGGUUGCGCUCGUUGCGGGACUUAACCCAACAUCUCACGACACGAGCUGACGACAGCCAUGCACCACCCGUGAAGGUCCGGCCGAACCGACUCCGUGUUUCCACGGGUGCGACCUACAUGUCAAGCCCAGGUAAGGUUCUUCGCGUUGCAUCGAAUUAAAGAACAUGCUCCGCUGCUUGUGCGGGCCCCCGUCAAUUCUUUUGAGUUUUAGCCUUGCGGCCGUACUCCCCAGGCGGGGCGCUUAAUGCGUUAGCUACGGCGCAGGAAACCGGAGAGGCCCCCCACACCUAGCGCCCAACGUUUACAGCAUGGACUAC
rnacentral:misc_RNA from 1 species